UGAUCUCAAGUCAUGUG
rnacentral:rRNA from 1 species